rnacentral:rRNA from 1 species
UACAGAGGAGCCAAGCGUUGUCCGGAUUGACUGGGCGUAAAGCGCACGUAGGCGGCUGCGCGCGUGGGGUGUGAAAUCUGGCCGCUUAACGGCCAGGCGCCAUCCCAUACGGCGCGGCUUGAGCCUUGCAGAGGGCGGUGGAAUUGCCGGUGUAGUGGUGAAAUGCGUAGAGAUCGGCAGGAACACCCAGGGGGAAACCAGCCGCCUGGGCAAGCGCUGACGCUGAGGUGCGAGAGCGUGGGGAGCGAACCGG